ensembl:lncRNA
ACCCUCUGUGUCGGUGCCAUAGCUGAAGGAGCUGGACCCGGACUUGGACCCGGACCAGAGCCAGGACUCUGGGGUAGUAACUCUGAGGCUGGGCUGUUUACUGCAACUCCACUUCCCCUUCCACCAGAUCACCACCAGGGGUGCCACUGUGCUGCAAGACACUUUUACCUGUUCAGAUCCAGUGGAGAUGUUACGUUGCCGUGGUCGUCUGCAGAGAGCUGUGAGAGAGAAGGCUCUGGUCCAGGCGUUCUCCAACGUUCUGCUUGUUCUUAUUGGAAAUGGUAAAGUUGUGGUUGAUCUGAAGGGAGCUUCAUCAGUUUGACCCUGAGGAGCAGGAG